GAGUUAUGGUACUUGAUUGUUGGAAAAAAAAUUAUGAACUCUGACAGUUGCUGCUCAGGAGCAUCUGUGAUCCCUAGAUCACAUCUCUAGUUUUGAACUUAUAUAUAUAUAUAUAUAUUUAUUGUCGAGCCUUCGACUUUAGUCGAAAAAGCGAGACUAAGCGAUCCUACAUUCCGUCGUCGUCGGCGUCGUCGGCGGCGUCAACAAAUAUUCACUCUGUGGUUAAAGUUUUUGAAAUUUUAAUAACUUUCUUAAACUAUACUGGAUUUCUACCAAAGUUUGACAGAAGCUUGUUUAUGAUCAUAAGAUAAUAUCCAGAAGUAAAUUUUGUAAAAAUAAAAUUCCAUUUUUUCCAUAUUUUACUAUAAUUGGACUUAGUUUUUUCUGCGGGGAAACAAAACAUUCACUCUGUGGUUAAAGUUUUUUGAAUUUUAAUAACUUUCUCAAACUAUCCUGGGUUUGUACCAAACUUGGACAGAAGCUUGUUUAUGAUCAUAAGAUAAUAUCCAGAAGUAAAUUUUGUAAAAAUAAAAUUCCAUUUUUUCCGUAUUUUACUUACAAAUGGACUUAGUUUUUUUCUGCGGGGAACCAUUACAUUCACUCUGUGGUUAAAGUUUUUAGAAUUUUAAUAACUUUCUUAAACUAUCCUGGGUUUGUACCAAACUUGGACAGAAGGUUGUUUAUGAUCAUAAGAUAGUAUCCAGAAGUAAAUUUUGUAAAUAAAUAAAUCCAUUUUUUCCAUAUUUUACUUUUAAAUGGACUUAGUUUUUCUGCGGGGAAUCAUUACAUUCACUCUGUGGUUAAAGUUUUUAAAAUUUUAAUAACUUUCUUAAACUAUCCUGGGUUUGUACCAAACUUGGACGAAGCUUAUUUAUGAUCAUAAGAUUGUAUCCAGAAGUAAAGUUUGUAAAUAAAUAAAUCCAUUUUUUCCAUAUUUUACUUUUAAAUGGACUUAGUUUUUCUGCGGGGAACCAUUACAUUCACUCUGUGGUUAAAGUUUUUAAAAUUUUAAUAACUUUC
rnacentral:lncRNA from 1 species